AUUGUCGGUCUGAAAUUUUCUUACUGUCACUGUCGUGAGAGGAGAACAAUUUUUACAAAGCCUGAGCAUCUCUAUUCAAACCACAAAGUAAAGAAGUAUAGAUGGAAAUUCUCUUCCAAAUGCUUCAUCAUGGGGGUAAGAGCAGCACGGCGGGCUUCCCCAACGGCCACGUGAGGUGUGAUGCCCCCACCGCUGAGCACAGGCGCAGACAACCCAGCUGCCUUGGAGGGAUUUAUAAAAGGAAACAACCCACGUACCUGUUAAGUGCAGAUGUCAGCCUGAACCCAGGAUGCUUUUCGUCUUUCCAAGGAGGCUGCUGCCUUUAAAAACCAGAACAACAUAAAAGGAAAAGAAGUCAAUCCACAGACAGCAAAGGAGGGCCUCAGCACUUGCAUUUGAGAACUGGCUCUUCUACUCACCUCGCUCUGCAAGAGUCACUUAAAAAUACCCCACACCUCGCUCAUUUUGCUUAUCAAUAUUAAAAUGAGGUAAGACUCCAUGAUCCUUCCAGUCCUGUGAUCUCUGAUUUCCAGUAUAAAAACUACUACAAACCCAUAAGGAACAGGAUUAGCUAGCUGGGCAGAUAAGGAGUUCAGUGUGCAUGUAGGGGGCGCCGUGGCAAUCUUGGAUGCAAAAAUUUUGCCUUCCCCUACCCAUGGCCAUGAAGAGGAAUGGAAUUGUUACAGUUGCCCAGGGUAUGAAAAUAUUACGUCUAACCAGUCCUGGUGCUCUGAAAAGCAGAAGACAUUUCUUGGAUACAUAAAAGAAAAAUAUCAGUUUGGAGAUGACUUUUCCUGAUGUAAUAAAAUAUUGUAUUUAUUCU